rnacentral:rRNA from 1 species
AGUGAACGCUGGCGGUAGGCCUAACACAUGCAAGUCGAACGGCAGCACAGAGGAGCUUGCUCCUUGGGUGGCGAGUGGCGGACGGGUGAGGAAUACAUCGGAAUCUACUCUGUCGUGGGGGAUAACGUAGGGAAACUUGCGCUAAUACCGCAUACGACCUACGGGUGAAAGCAGGGGAUCUUCGGACCUUGCGCGAUUGAAUGAGCCGACGUCGGAUUAGCUAGUUGGCGGGGUAAAGGCCCACCAAGGCGACGAUCCGUAGCUGGUCUGAGAGGAUGAUCAGCCACACUGGAACUGAGACACGGUCCAGACUCCUACGGGAGGCAGCAGUGGGGAAUAUUGGACAAUGGGCGCAAGCCUGAUCCAGCCAUACCGCGUGGGUGAAGAAGGCCUUCGGGUUGUAAAGCCCUUUUGUUGGGAAAGAAAUCCAUCUGGUUAAUACCCGGGUGGGAUGACGGUACCCAAAGAAUAAGCACCGGCUAACUUCGUGCCAGCCGCCGCGGUAA